GGACAACCUACCCUUAGGACGGGGAUAAACCCGGGAAACUGGGUAUAAUACCCGAUAGUCCUCAGAUGCUGGAAUGCACCGAGGACUAAAGCUCCGGCGCCUAAGGAUGGGUCUGCGGCCUAUCAGGUAGUAGUGGGUGUAGCGUACCUACUAGCCUACGACGGGUACGGGUUGUGAGAGCAAGAGCCCGGAGAUGGAUUCUGAGACACGAAUCCAGGCCCUACGGGGUGCAGCAGGCGCGAAAACUUUACAAUGCUGGAAACAGCGAUAAGGGGACCUCGAGUGCCAGGUUACAAAUCUGGCUGUCGUGAUGCCUAAAAAGCAUUGCAUAGCAAGGGCCGGGCAAGACCGGUGCCAGCCGCCGCGGUAACACCGGCGGCUCGAGUGGUAACCGUUAUUAUUGGGUCUAAAGGGUCUGUAGCCGGCCGGAUAAGUCUCUUGGGAAAUCUGGCAGCUUAACUGUCAGGCUUUCAGGAGAUACUGUCUGGCUCGAGGCCGGGAGAGGUGAGAGGUACUUCAGGGGUAGGGGUGAAAUCUUGUAAUCCUUGAAGGACCACCAGUGGCGAAGGCGUCUCACCAGAACGGACCUGACGGCAAGGGACGAAAGCUAGGGGCACGAACCGGAUUAGAUACCCGGGUAGUCCUAGCCGUAAACGAUACUCGCUAGGUGUCGGCCACGGUGCGACCGUUGUCGGUGCCGUAGGAAAGCCGUGAAGCGAGCCACCUGGGAAGUACGGCCGCAAGGCUGAAACU
rnacentral:rRNA from 1 species